rnacentral:rRNA from 1 species
UAAAGAGGUCUCAAGCGUUGUUCGGAUUCAUUGGGCGUAAAGGGUGCGUAGGUGGCGCCAUAAGUCAGGUGUGAAAUCUCGGGGCUUAACUCCGAAACUGCAUUUGAUACUGUGGUGCUUGAGGACUGGAGAGGAGACUGGAAUUCACGGUGUAGCAGUGAAAUGCGUAGAUAUCGUGAGGAAGACCAGUGGCGAAGGCGGGUCUCUGGACAGUUCCUGACACUGAGGCACGAAGGCCAGGGGAGCAAACGGG